AAAGUGAGCACCUUUCAUGUAGCUGAAAGACCAGGGCAGAGAAGGGAGGAGCAGGCGUGAAGGAAGGGGGCGUUGCUAUCCUGGAAGAAGCCACUCCCAUCAGGAUUAUUAUGUCUCAUCACAAGAUAAAGGUGAUCACUUAGGACAACUUCAUAUUCAUUUGCUGUAACCCUUCCCUCUACUGGAACAAGUGGACCCAAAUCAUGCCACAGUCACUGGAUCCACUCACUGUAGGGGUCAAGCAUUCAGGCAUGUUGGAUUCUCUUGGUUUGCACCACACACAGUCACCCAGUUGUCGAGAAUAUGUUGAAGGAUGACUCAUUUGACCAUAUCACUUUUCCCACAUCCCUUCAGACCAGUGCCUCUGGUUUUUGCACCACUGAACUUCCAACUGCGCAUUCGUCUAUGUAAUGACGGGUCUGUGCUCUACAGUCCCACUAUAAUAUCUCUCUAUGUAACUGCCAAUGGACUGUUCUUGCUGACAUAGUUUGAUCGCCUCCUAUGUUUCCCCAACGCACCAACAUCACAGUCAUCAAAUAUGCGCUGCCAACUACAACUUACGAAAUUUAUUUACCAAUGGCUUUCCCACAGAUCUGAAUGUAGAUGUCACUUCAGUCAAAGUUCUACUGAAACACUAGUCUUUGUGACUGAGGCUCCUGUAACCAGAGGUUAGUGUAAAUGUGUUUUGAGACUGCCCCUGAGUAUCAUGUCUGCUUUGUCUGUCAUAGCACUUUGUAAACCAUGUUUUUAAAGGUGCUAUAUAAAUAAAUCAUCUUAUUGUCAUUAUUAUAAUUACAUAGAAUGAUUGUAUGUUAAUUGUACAAUGCAGCGCACCUUUGUGGAAGCAUCUGUAUUUUUUCAUUCAUUGUUUCUCCACUUAUUUACUCAGGUUUUCCUUAAAUUUGUCACAUCUGUUGCUGGAAAGGGGUGUAAGCCUAAGUGACUCAAUACAUUACAAUGAGCUAUUUUAAGGAAUGCUGUGCUUUUGAGCCAGGGAGCCAUUACCCAAAGACAGAGCAAUGGGAUAACAAAGGAGGCCUACAAGUGAAACAAAGCCAGAUUAGCACAUUUCUCACCUCUGAAUGUAAAUGCAGAGAGCAUCUUUCUGUGUGGAUAAAGGAUAAGGCCUCCUGUAAUCUAUUUUUAGUAUUUGUUUGCAUUAUCUAUGUGCUCUGGCAGAUAGUGAAGCAGUGUAGCAUUCCUGAAUAGGAUUUUGUACAGUCAAAAUCAAAGUUAUGGAAAUGGUAUUAUGACUGCAACAGAAGCGGAUGCAUUUUGGAGCAGCUCCUAUUUCAUAACGUUACCAAUAUGGCAGUGUAUAAACCCCAGCACAUUCAGUAAUGGAGGAUUAUGGUUAAAGCACGGUUAUGCAAAAUACAGUCUCAGUUUAUCUUCACCAUGUCUUUGUGCUCAGCUUCAGCUGCUGGUCUCACUGCCAGUAGAGAAACGUUACAGAAUUUUUUUUUAAGGAAAAUUCAAUACAAAUUCUUGACAAAUUACUGACGCGUUGCAUUGAAAGAAGGUAGUGUGCUGUGUUAGACAGUCUUAAACCAAGACUAACCAGAAAUAAUCCACUACUUAAGAGUCUACAGCCAUGCUGGUUACUCUGUGAGGCGGAUUUAUGCACAGCGGUGCUUUGAGCUGAAUGUUCAAGUCUGCAUGCCAACAUGCUCACAAUGAUAAUGUUGACAUGCUGAUGUUCAGCAAGUAAAAUAGGCCUUGGUUAAUAUCGAGUAAGAAAGUCCAAACUUGGAUUACUUAGUUUGGACUUGGCAAAUUUUGAGAGCACAAACUCCCUAGAACGGGUGAACACAGUACGAUCAUUCUGUAAUUGGAACAGCAGCCCACUUGAUGUCACCAUCCCAUCGCCUGUGUCAAUGUAUGUAUGUUAACAAUAAAUUGAUAUAAAACACAA